CCUUUCAGGAAGCAACAAAUAUAUUCAGAACAUACCGAACCUGGACAGUAACUGCAGUGUUAGAGUACUUAAUCUAUAAAUCCUCCCCCAAUGCUCACAGAAAUACAAAACCACUGUGAAUAUCAGAAGUUGGAUCUAGCUGACUUCUGGAUUACUUCAAAUCCCAUUGACUUAAGAGCAACUGCCCAAUAAAAAAUUCCAUCAAAACUGCUCAUCUGAUUUCAGCAUUAGUCUUCAAAAUAUCUGCUUUGGAGCUAUCUUCCUUAUAAAGGGAGAAUGACACCAGCAAGUAAUUUUGUGGACCAGCAGACAUCUCCAUCUACAGGACAGAGACAGCAAAAUGCAACACAGAUAUGAUUUUAUUUAGUCUUCUAAUUUGUGCUUCUUCUGGAACUAAAAUCUAUACAUUUUAUCUUCAUUAGGCCAUGAAACUGCCUUUCUGUCAUGUAUCUAGAACCAUGACCACCCCCAAAUCUAGAAGAAUCGAGUAACAAUUUGACAGCAACAAGUAUUUUACAAUAAUCCUGCAUUAGUGUGAAGCAUGAAACUUGCACAGACUGAGAACCUUGACAGAGGGAAAGAUGCUGCCAGAAUUAAGUUUUUCUCUACCACUUUUAUUCGGUGAAUGGAUCUCUAAAUCACUAAACAAAUCUCCCACAAUGCUUUUUCUUAUUCAAGAAACUGCCUGGUUGUAUUCAGAGGAUAAUGCAGGACUGUUUAAUAAAAGUGAAUUCUUCUUCGCUUAUAAUUUGGAAGGUUACCUGGAAGCUAAGGAGGAGGAAAACAAAUUUAAGGGAGGUCUAAUGAUUUAAGUAACCACUAGUACCAUAUGGAACUGGAUUUUAGCUUCAUUUCUGCUGCAAAGCAUCUGUGAUUGAAGUGCUGCACGGUUUAUUUGAAACAAAUAAUGCUUAUUCUGUGCAGGUAGUAGUCUUUUUACCUCAGAAACCAGAUUAAUUGUCUGUCUCACUGAAAGAGAUUAUGUAGUUCAUCCUCAAAUAUUUUGUUCUUUCACUUUCCUGCACAUAUUGAGUGUAUUUUAUGAUGAAAAAAACCUGAAAAGUGUCAAAAGAGACAUCCUCAUUUCAACUUCUUUUAUUCUUUCCAACUGGAAGGUAUUUGGAACAUUUUUAAAGGUUUGCAAGUAGGUGAAUAAAUAAAAAAUUACAGAGAGCAUUUCAAGUAUAAAGAUUUAGGAGGAAGGCUAAUAUUACUGAGAAAAAAAAGAAACAAAAAAACCCCCAACUUUUUAUCUAGAAGUUAAAAUAACCCAAGAAUUUCGUAAAUCUAGAAGAAGCUUUUGGUAACAGAGAAUUUUCAAUUUUGAAGGUAAAAAAAUAUUAUUAGAAGUCAAAUAGAAAAUUAACACAAGCUUGGUUUUUUGUAAACUGUUGUCGUUUAAAUUCUCCUGCAGUUUCUAGCUGCCAAGGAAACUGAAGUUUCUCUGAAACCUCCAUAAAUGUCCCUUGAUGAUGUGA